UACAGAGGUCCCAAGCGUUGUUCGGAUUCACUGGGCGUAAAGCGCACGCAGGCGGAUGCGCGCGUGGGGUGUGAAAUCUGGCCGCUUAACGGCCAGGCGCCAUCCCAUACGGCGCGUCUGGAGUGAUGCAGAGGUCGGUGGAAUUGCCGGUGUAGUGGUGAAAUGCGUAGAGAUCGGCAGGAACACCCAGGGGGAAACCAGCCGACUGG
rnacentral:rRNA from 1 species